AGAGGAAGUAAAAGUCGUAACAAGGUUUCCGUAGGUGAACCUGCGGAAGGAUCAUUAGUGAAUUUAGCGAAUCUUCGGAUCGCGACCUCUCACUUUUUCACACUGUGCACUUAGAAAUUUUUUGGUUGCGAGCCGCGAGGCAGACCAACCAAGAAUUUUUAUUUAAACACGAGUUGAUGUAUGUCAAUAAAACAUAAAACAAAACAAAACUUUCAACAACGGAUCUCUUGGCUCUCGCAUCGAUGAAGAACGCAGCGAAAUGCGAUAAGUAAUGUGAAUUGCAGAAUUCAGUGAAUCAUCGAAUCUUUGAACGCAUCUUGCGCUCUCUGGUAUUCCGGAGAGCAUGUCUGUUUGAGUGUCAUGAACUCUUCAACCCACCGGGUUUCUAGUCAAACUGCUUGUGGUGUUUGGAUCUUGAGCGUCUGCUUUUCUUUUUCGAAAAGCUCGUUCGUAAUGCAUUAGCUUUCUCGACUUUGAUCGGAUUGACUCGGCGUAAUAGAUUAUUCGCUGAGGACAAGCUUCGCGCUUUGGCCGACCAAUGUGUCUAACGAAGGCUUCUAAUCAGUCCUUUGGACAACUUUUUAAAGAUUAGACCUCAAAUCAGAUAGGACUACCCGUGAACUUAAGCAUAUCA
rnacentral:rRNA from 1 species